rnacentral:rRNA from 1 species
AUUGAACGCUGGCGGCAGGCCUAACACAUGCAAGUCGAACGGCAGCACAGAAGAGCUUGCUCUUUGGGUGGCGAGUGGCGGACGGGUGAGUAAUGUCUGGGAAACUGCCCGAUGGAGAGGGAUAACUACUGGAAACGGUAGCUAAUACCGCAUAACGUCGCAAGACCAAAGUGGGGGACCUUCGGGCCUCACACCAUCGGAUGUGCCCAGAUGGGAUUAGCUAGUUGGUGAGGUAACGGCUCACCAAGGCGACGAUCUCUAGCUGGUCUGAGAGGAUGACCAGCCACACUGGAACUGAGACACGGUCCAGACUCCUACGGGAGGCAGCAGUGGGGAAUAUUGCACAAUGGGGGAAACCCUGAUGCAGCCAUGCCGCGUGUGUGAAGAAGGCCUUCGGGUUGUAAAGCACUUUCAGUGGGGAGGAAGGGGCGAUGCCUAAUACGCAUUGUCAUUGACGUUACCCACAGAAGAAGCACCGGCUAACUCCGUGCCAGCCGCCGCGGUAA